UAGCGCUAAGGUGACCAUAAUUCCCAUACUUCAACAUUGACUUAAGGUAGUCUUAGCGCUAAGGUGACCAUAAUUCCCAUACUUUUACAUUGACUUAAGGUAGUCUUAGCGCUAAGGU